GCCUUGUUAGCUCAAUGGUAGAGUGUAAGGCUCUUACAGUCCCUCUGACCGGGUAAGAGUCUUAAGGCGCGGGUUCGAUUCCCGUAUGAGGCA